AUCAAUCCCAAUAGAGUUUGUAGUGAUCAUGGUGUCUGUGAGUCUGGCUGUGUUGGUGUUAACUGUCAUCCUGUUCACAGUCUACAGAUGGAAAUGUAACAAGGUGCAAGGGUCGGUCUCCUCCAGCAGACAGACGUCUAGCAGACCAAAUAUCCACCCAGGAAACAGUGAGGAGGGGGACCAGGACUAUGAGAAUGACCCUGCUACAGACACCAUGGUUUAUAUAGGAAAA